rnacentral:rRNA from 1 species
AUGAACGCUGGCGGCGUGCCUAAUACAUGCAAGUCGAGCGAACAGACGAGGAGCUUGCUCCUCUGACGUUAGCGGCGGACGGGUGAGUAACACGUGGAUAACCUACCUAUAAGACUGGGAUAACUUCGGGAAACCGGAGCUAAUACCGGAUAAUAUAUUGAACCGCAUGGUUCAAUAGUGAAAGACGGUUUUGCUGUCACUUAUGGAUGGAUCCGCGCCGCAUUAGCUAGUUGGUAAGGUAGCGGCUUACCAAGGCGACGAUGCGUAGCCGACCUGAGAGGGAGAGCGGCCACAUUGGGACUGGGGAACGGGACAGACGCGUACGGGAGGCAGGGGGGGGGACUCUGGCAGAACGGGCGGAAGGAGGAUGCAGCGACGCAGGGUGAGGGAUGACGGUUUUCGGGGUGUAAACAACUUUAAACAGAGAUGAAGCGUCAGUGACGGUACCUGCAAAAGAAGCACGGGCUAACUACGUG